AGAAAAGUAACCGCCGCCCCGCGCAGGGGCGACGCUAAUAGACCGACACGACCCCAGGUACUUCACGCCAACAAACCGCGCACCGCAAAAAACCUCAAUCCUUGCCACCA
rnacentral:sRNA from 1 species